UACCAAAAUUCUUUGUCAGGGUGUUUCUGCGUACAUUCUAGUACAACUUACACAUACAGAAGGGCCUGUUACAGUUUUGGAAGAGCAAUACUACCCACCCUCGAUCUAUCCAUCGUUUUGAUGGAGUCAUGGUUGAAACCUAGUUGAACAAUCUUCGUUUUGAGGAUAUAUCAGCGCUUUUAUUUCGGGUACGGAGGAACUUAAGAGUUGAGCUUUGGAUCUGAAAAGAAUUAUUAUGCCAUGGCUCGUAGUAAAGAACCUCACAUCA
rnacentral:snoRNA from 1 species